rnacentral:lncRNA from 15 species
GGAGUGAAACUCCUGAUGGGAAGGCAGGGAAGGGGGAAGAUAACGAGGAGGAGCUGAGGAAGGAGCUGAGGUAACCGGGCUAUGUGGCAAAACUCUGCGCUACUUCUCUGACAACAAGAGCUGUACGGAUACUUUUGAGAAAGCGGUUUUACCCCGUGUCCUGCUGCUUCCGACCCUGUAGAGAUGGAAGGAGAGAAGGAGAGACAGAGGCAGCAACGAGAGGAGAAGGAGAGUAACGAGGCAGAAGAUGGCAGGAGGAGCGAAGAUGAUGCCGACAACGAAGAGGAGGAUGAUGAAGGUUCAGAGGGUGCGGCGCUAGUGUGGCAGGAAGGCUACGGUGAGGACAAUCUGGGCCUUCCCAUCAUGCACUGGGAGGCGCUGAGCCUGCGCAUUGCUGAGCUGGAGAAGCAAGAAGAGGAGAAGAAGGAGAAGAAAGCAAAGAGCGGAGUCUCUCUGGAGCGAGGCAGAGCUCCAGUGAGCUGGAUGGAGGACAGGGGGAGGAGGGCCGAGAGCUGGGAAGACGGAGAUGACGCCUGCAACAGCCACGUGCUGGCUCUCACCUCCCGCCUGCAGACACAGAUGAAUCUCCAGCUCUGUUUCAUCAACAACAGCGAAAGUGAGGAGGAAGAGGAGGAGGGAGAGAAGGAGAGCAGCAACACACGAAGAGGGACUGUUCAGGUCCAUAACAAUCCUCAACCUCCUGCCAAGCCAGAGAAAUCUAAAUCCAGAGGCUUCAGGAACACUCUGAGGAACCUUCGAGACCGACUGAGAACAGACCACAAAACUCUGACUGCAGUCUGUAGUGAUCAUGUAGUCCAGAGAAGACAUUUGGAGCGCAGUGAUUUACAAAACUUCAGUAUUAAGGACCUGAACGCCCUUUCCACAUCUCUCAGCAAGGCCAUACAAGGUACCCACCUGCUCACAGUAAUUACACUGUGUGUAGUUGAAACAUUAUUAAAGUCUUAUUAUUAUUAUUAUUAUUAUUAUUAUUAUUAUUAUUAUUAUGGAAGCGGAGUGCUGUUCUCUUUACUGUGUUUACAGUAA